rnacentral:rRNA from 1 species
UACGAGGGGUGCAAACGUUAUUCGGAAUUACUGGGUGUAAAGGGUACGUAGACGGCAUAUUAAGUCAAUUGUUAAAUUUCUCAGCUUAACUGAGAGUAAGCGGUUGAAACUAAUAAGCUAGAGGAUGAGAGAGAGAAGUGGAAUUCUCGGAGUAGCGGUAAAAUGCGUAGAUGUCGAGAGGAACACCGAUGGCGAAGGCAGCUUCUUGGCUCAUACCUGACGUUGAGGUACGAAAGCGUGGGGAGCAAACAGG